GAGGCGGAGGGAAGGGGGAAGAGGGGCAUGGUGAAGAAAAGAAUGCUGGUGGAGGGAGAGCGAGGGGAGCUACGUGUUUCGUACGUGUAUACGUAUGUCCCUCCGUCUCGUAUGAUUGUCAAUGAUGAUAGUCACUCGCGAAAUUCUCCUUUCUCGUUUUCCGUCCGAUUGGCGGUAAAGCGAAUAAAAGAGAAUACGUAAUAUGUACAUAGUAUGUAGGAAGGCAAACCUUUGGAUUAGAGUCUCAGCCGCGGAAACACUCUCUACUGCCAUUUUCGCUUUCGGUUCCGCAGAUCGAUCACGAUCUGCGACGUGCGUGUCUCGCUCUCGGUACCCCGGAGUGAACAAAAUUUUUUAAACGAUGACCUUCAUCACAAAGUACAAGACCUACUUCAUCUUGAUGCAGUACAUGUGCGUGUAGGCGAAAUGUUUCAUAACUUAUAAUGAGAAUAGGAGUUACACAUCUACCGCCAUAAUUCUGGUGGCGAAUAGACAAUUAAAGCAUUAGGAUCAUUAGGAUCGUGCAAUGGUCUACGUGGUCCUGGCAGACGUAAUCCAAGAACUCGCCCAGAUAAUUGAUAACCAGGCACUGGUAUUUUAAAUGGUUUGCUAAGAAGUUUCCUC